CCCUUAGAUGUUCUGGGCUGCACGCGCGCUACACUGAUGCGCUCAACGAGUUUACGAACUUGCCCGGAAGGGUUGGUUAAUCUUUUUAAAACGCAUCGUGAUGGGGAUAGAUUAUUGCAAUUAUUAAUCUUCAACGAGGAAUUCCUAGUAAGCGCGAGUCAUCAGCUCGCACUGAUUACGUCCCUGCCCUUUGUACACACCGCCCGUCGCUCCUACCGAUUGAAUGAUUUAGUGAGGACUUCGGACUGGGACCGAUGCGGCUUUCGGGCUGCGUCGGUAUUCUGGAAAGAUGUCCAAACUGUAUCAUUUAGAGGAAGUAAAAGUCGUAACA
rnacentral:rRNA from 1 species